UACGUAGGGGGCAAGCGUUGUCCGGAAUUAUUGGGCGUAAAGAGCUUGUAGGCGGUUUGUCGCGUCUGCUGUGAAAAUCCGGGGCUCAACCCCGGACUUGCAGUGGGUACGGGCAGACUGGAGUGUGGUAGGGGAGACUGGAAUUCCUGGUGUAGCGGUGAAAUGCGCAGAUAUCAGGAGGAACACCCGGUGGCGGAAGGCGGGUCUUCUGGGGCCGGUAACU
rnacentral:rRNA from 1 species